CCGCCCGUCACAUCACGAAAGUGGAUGGUACUAGAAGCCGGUGCGCCAACCCGCAAGGGGAGCAGCCGUCCAAGGUGUCAUUCAUGAUUGGGGUG
rnacentral:rRNA from 1 species